GACGAACGCUGGCGGCGUGCUUAACACAUGCAAGUCGAACGGAAAGGCCCUGCUUUUGUGGGGUGCUCGAGUGGCGAACGGGUGAGUAACACGUGAGUAACCUGCCCUUGACUUUGGGAUAACUUCAGGAAACUGGGGCUAAUACCGGAUAGGAGCUCCUGCUGCAUGGUGGGGGUUGGAAAGUUUCGGCGGUUGGGGAUGGACUCGCGGCUUAUCAGCUUGUUGGUGGGGUAGUGGCUUACCAAGGCUUUGACGGGUAGCCGGCCUGAGAGGGUGACCGGCCACAUUGGGACGGAGAUACGGCCCAGACUCCUACGGGAGGCAGCAGUGGGGAAUAUUGCACAAGGGGCGGAAGCCUGAUGCAGCAACGCCGCGUGCGGGAGGACGGCCUUCGGGUGGUAAACCGCUUUCGCCUGUGACGAAGCGUGAGUGACGGUAAUGGGUAAAGAAGCACCGGCUAACUACGU
rnacentral:rRNA from 1 species